ensembl:lncRNA
GAUGGGCAGAGGAUGGAUGGGCUGCGGCGUAAAAAUAGUGGAGCAAUAUCCGAAAGGAGUUUCUCAGAGAAAAAUUGCAAAGAGUGAAGUUAUCAUCAUCUACAGUGCAUAAUAUCAUCCAAAGAUUCAGAGAAUCUGGAACAAUCUCUGUGCGUAAGUGUCAAGGCCGGAAAACCAUACCAAACCAAACCUACGCAUGCUACUCGCAAUGAGACCUGAUUGUGGUCCCUUGUUUUGUAACUGCUGAGAGUAAAGAGGAUUACAUGAACAAAAGCCUCUGUGGAUGGUUGAGGAGGAUAUGCUGAAGCCACUGGGGUUUGUUUGCAUCAUUGUAUCUAACACAGGAGCACAAAAAUAUUCAAAUAUGCUUAAUAACCAAAGAGCUGCAACCAUGAAGAACACAGUGGUUAAUGCCGAAGUCCUUCAUUUUGGGAAGAAAUCUCUGAAUGUUCUGUAAAUGGGCUGAAAGUUGCAACACAAGGGAGGUCUUUCAGCAGCUGUGAGUGAAAGACUCUGGUCUCAGAGCAGUGGUUCCAGGGGGCGACUGCAAUCCAGCUGUGUUUUUAAAUGAGGAACAUCCAUCUGAGCCUCUUUCCACUACUUAUUGGAAAAGGAGAACAAUCAGCUAGACAGAGGGAGAGCUCCACGCUGUGAGCUGAAUCCUGACGUUACACUUUCUUGAAGAAAAAAAUGGUUGUUGCAUUAUACUUUAUUGAAAAGACCAGUUAUGACUAAUUUAAUUUAUAAUCACAUAUCCUUUGUGCUUCUCAUUCCUCUUAGAAUAAAGUGUAAAUAAGUGAAAUCUACAGC